CUGGAGGUAUCAGAAGUGCGAAUGCUGACAUAAGUAACGAUAAAGCGGGUGAAAAGCCCGCUCGCCGGAAGACCAAGGGUUCCUGUCCAACGUUAAUCGGGGCAGGGUGAGUCGACCCCUAAGGCGAGGCCGAAAGGCGUAGUCGAUGGGAAACAGGUUAAUAUUCCUGUACUUGGUGUUACUGCGAAGGGGGGACGGAGAAGGCUAUGUUGGCCGGGCGACGGUUGUCCCGGUUUAAGCGUGUAGGCUGGUUUUCCAGGCAAAUCCGGAAAAUCAAGGCUGAGGCGUGAUGACGAGGCACUACGGUGCUGAAGCAACAAAUGCCCUGCUUCCAGGAAAAGCCUCUAAGCAUCAGGUAACAUCAAAUCGUACCCCAAACCGACACAGGUGGUCAGGUAGAGAAUACCAAGGCGCUUGAGAGAACUCGGGUGAAGGAACUAGGCAAAAUGGUGCCGUAACUUCGGGAG
rnacentral:rRNA from 1 species